rnacentral:rRNA from 1 species
AUUGAACGCUGGCGGCAGGCCUAACACAUGCAAGUCGAACGGUAGCACAGAGAGCUUGCUCUCGGGUGACGAGUGGCGGACGGGUGAGUAACGUCUGGGAAACUGCCCGAUGGAGGGGGAUAACUACUGGAAACGGUAGCUAAUACCGCAUAACGUCGCAAGACCAAAGUGGGGGACCUUCGGGCCUCACACUAUCGGAUGUGCCCAGAUGGGAUUAGCUAGUAGGUGGGGUAAUGGCUCACCUAGGCGACGAUCCCUAGCUGGUCUGAGAGGAUGACCAGCCCCACUGGAACUGAGACACGGUCCAGACUCCUACGGGAGGCAGCAGUGGGGAAUAUUGCACAAUGGGCGCAAGCCUGAUGCAGCCAUGCCGCGUGUAUGAAGAAGGCCUUCGGGUUGUAAAGUACUUUCAGCGGGGAGGAAGGCGGUGAAGUUAAUAACUUCACCGAUUGACGUUACCCGCAGAAGAAGCACCGGCUAACUCCGUGCCAGCCGCCGCCGUAA